rnacentral:tRNA from 1 species
GUGUAUAUAGUUUAAUUAAAACACUAGAUUGUGAUUCUAGAAACGAAAGUGAAAUCCUUUCUAUAAACC